UAGUUCCUACGGGGGGCAGCAGUGAGGAAUAUUGGUCAAUGGGCUUACGCCUGAACCAGCCACGUCGCGUGAGGGAAGACUGCCCUAUGGGUUGUAGACCUCUUUUGUCAGGGAGCAACGCCGGCUACGUGUAGCCGGACUGAGAGUACCUGAAGAAAAAGCAUCGGCUAACUCCGUGCCAGCAGCCGCGGUAAUACGGAGGAUGCGAGCGUUAUCCGGAUUUCUUGGGUUUAAAGGGUGCGUAGGCGGAAUGCCACGUCAGCGGUAA
rnacentral:rRNA from 1 species